AUGAACGCUAGCUACAGGCUUAACACAUGCAAGUCGAGGGGCAGCAUGGUCUUAGCUUGCUAAGACUGAUGGCGACCGGCGCACGGGUGAGUAACACGUAUCCAACCUGCCGUCUACUCUUGGACAGCCUUCUGAAAGGAAGAUUAAUACAAGAUGGCAUCAUGAGUCCGCAUGUUCACAUGAUUAAAGGUAUUCCGGUAGACGAUGGGGAUGCGUUCCAUUAGAUAGUAGGCGGGGUAACGGCCCACCUAGUCUUCGAUGGAUAGGGGUUCUGAGAGGAAGGUCCCCCACAUUGGAACUGAGACACGGUCCAAACUCCUACGGGAGGCAGCAGUGAGGAAUAUUGGUCAAUGGGCGAGAGCCUGAACCAGCCAAGUAGCGUGAAGGAUGACUGCCCUAUGGGUUGUAAACUUCUUUUAUAAAGGAAUAAAGUCGGGUAUGGAUACCCGUUUGCAUGUACUUUAUGAAUAAGGAUCGGCUAACUCCGUGCCAGCAGCCGCGGUAAUACGGAGGAUCCGAGCGUUAUCCGGAUUUAUUGGGUUUAAAGGGAGCGUAGAUGGAUGUUUAAGUCAGUUGUGAAAGUUUGCGGCUCAACCGUAAAAUUGCAGUUGAUACUGGAUAUCUUGAGUGCAGUUGAGGCAGGCGGAAUUCGUGGUGUAGCGGUGAAAUGCUUAGAUAUCACGAAGAACUCCGAUUGCGAAGGCAGCCUGCUAAGCUGCAACUGACAUUGAGGCUCGAAAGUGUGGGUAUCAAACAGGAUUAGAUACCCUGGUAGUCCACACGGUAAACGAUGAAUACUCGCUGUUUGCGAUAUACUGCAAGCGGCCAAGCGAAAGCGUUAAGUAUUCCACCUGGGGAGUACGCCGGCAACGGUGAAACUCAAAGGAAUUGACGGGGGCCCGCACAAGCGGAGGAACAUGUGGUUUAAUUCGAUGAUACGCGAGGAACCUUACCCGGGCUUGACAUAUAGAGGAAUAUAUAAGAGAUUAUAUAGCUCUUCGGAGUCUCUAUACAGGUGGUGCAUGGUUGUCGUCAGCUCGUGUCGUGAGAUGUUGGGUUAAGUCCCGCAACGAGCGCAACCCUUGAUCUUAGUUGCCAGCAUUCAGUUGGGCACUCUAAGGUGACUGCCGGUGACAAACCGGAGGAAGGUGGGGAUGACGUCAAAUCAGCACGGCCCUUACGUCCGGGGCUACACACGUGUUACAAUGGGGGGUACAGAGGGCCGCUACCACGCGAGUGGAUGCCAAUCCCAAAAACCUCUCUCAGUUCGGACUGGAGUCUGCAACCCGACUCCACGAAGCUGGAUUCGCUAGUAAUCGCGCAUCAGCCACGGCGCGGUGAAUACGUUCCCGGGCCUUGUACACACCGCCCGUCAAGCCAUGGGAGCCGGGGGUACCUGAAGUGCGUAACCGCGAGGAGCGCCCUAGGGUAAAACUGGUGACUGGGGCU
rnacentral:rRNA from 1 species